CAAGAUGGAUAAAGACACCUGCAAAAAAAGGAAGACGCAACAACAACAAAAGCAACACAGAGAUGACUUCCUGCCUGACGUCUCAUUGAAACUACCAGCUGGAUCCAAAUGUUGGGCUGCGAUAGCGACUGACCAAACAUAACUGCAGCAGUCCUGGACAGUAGCUGGAAGAGCUGAGUGACAGCUGUGACAAGAGGACAUACGUGACUAACAUCAACAAUGCUUCUAGAUUCAGAUGUAUGUCGAGAUCAUUUGAGGAGAAGUUAUACAGAACCUGGAAAAGACUAUUUUUCCUGCUUACACAGCCAACAGCACUGCCGCAGGAUGCAGCUGUAGGACAUCUAGAGAACUUUCCCAAAUAGCCAAAUGUUGUUUCUAUGGAUGCUUCAAAACUUUAUGGUGAUGCUGUCAUCUGUUUCCAGGUAAUGCAUGCUUAUUGUGCUACAUGUCUCACUUUUCUUUCACGGAGCUCAAAGCAGCAUUCUAGGCUCCACACCUCCAUUUUAUCAUCAGGACAAUCCCGUGAGGCAAAACGAGUGACCCAAAGGCAUGCAGUGAGCUUCAUGGCCAACUGAAUCUCCCUCAUCCUACUUACUACCCCUGAUGCCUUAAGCACCCUCAUUUAGCAUUGCCCACUCUCAUCUUUGACUGAAUCCUUUAAAAAUAACAGAUAACUUACUUGGUACUGAAUGGAACUCAGUUUUUGCAGUCUUCAUGUUUUAUUCUAUUUUUUGUAAUUUGGAGGGUAGGGGCUUCAGAAGGUACAAAAGUGUUUUCUUAGGAGAGAAGAGGGAAGCUAUCUGUGUUGCCUUGGCUAUUGAACCACCUUUGAUUUGGAUUUCGCCACUUUUUUGGGGGGGGUGUGCUCCCCUGGGUGUGCAAAAACUUCUGGUUUGUACAUUGGGGGCCCUUUUUGAUACCAAUGUGGUUUUCAUGGGACCAUUGUAGUUGUUAUUAGGAUGAUGCUGAAAAAUAUGACAAGGAGAUAAAAGUAAACUUCAUCUCUGGGGUGAAUUCAUGUUUUCAAAAUGAUGCUGUUCUUGCCCUUUAAAAGGACUUGAACUUAAAUUGUUUUAAUAGAGCACAACUGAGGGAACUCUCCGACUCAGGAGACUGCACCAAAUGGAACAUUGGCUGGUCUUUUCUGAAGUAUAUCCAUUUAUAGCAUUCCCACUACAAGUUAGUUGUUUACAUGAAAAUACUUUCAAAUAACCAGAGGUGUGAAUAUUUACUCCUGUCAAAGUGACUAUGGCUGUUUCCAGGCAAAGCUACUGAACCUUUAAAGGAAUUGCACUGAAUUUUCUCUUUAGGAAUAGAGAUAAAGACAGCAACUGAAAGGGGUAAAUACCAGAAAUAGGAAACUGGGUUAAUGGAUGGACUGGUAAGAUGGGAGUCAGAAGCACCCUUUUAGAAAAUUAUCUUAGAAGGAUGUUAAUUUUUGUGAUAGAAAUAUGAAUAUAAGUCUACUGGCAUAAGCAAAACCAACAAAAAGGGUG